rnacentral:rRNA from 1 species
AGAUUGAACGCUGGCGGCAUGCCUUACACAUGCAAGUCGAACGGCAGCACGGGAGCAAUCCUGGUGGCGAGUGGCGAACGGGUGAGUAAUACAUCGGAACGUGCCUAGUAGUGGGGGAUAGCCCGGCGAAAGCCGGAUUAAUACCGCAUACGACCUACGGGUGAAAGCGGGGGAUCGCAAGACCUCGCGCUAUUGGAGCGGCUGAUGUCAGAUUAGGUAGUUGGUAGGUAAAAGCCUACCAAGCCGACGAUCUGUAGCUGGUCUGAGAGGACGACCAGCCACACUGGGACUGAGACACGGCCCAGACUCCUACGGGAGGCAGCAGUGGGGAAUUUGGACAAUGGCGCAAGCCUGAUCCAGCCAUGCCGCGUG